rnacentral:rRNA from 1 species
GACGUAGGGGGCCAGCGUUGUUCGGAAUUACUGGGUGUAAAGGGUUCGUAGGCGGUGUGGCAAGUCGGGAGUGAAAUCUCUGGGCUCAACCCAGAGACUGCUUCCGAAACUGCUGUGCUUGAGUGUGAGAGAGGCUCGUGGAAUUGCAGGUGUAGCGGUGAAAUGCGUAGAUAUUCGCAAGAACACCAGUGGCGAAGGCGGCUCACUGGCCCGGUACUGACGCUGAGGCACGAAAGCGUGGGGAGCAAACAGG